UGUACCCUGGCAAAAGAGGCCCAGGGCUGAGACCUGGGUGAGUGUCUGGAGACACCCCUCCUUCCCAAGAGUUUCCCUUUCCAAUAGAAACCAUUUCCUUCUGCCACUAAAACUAGGCUGCUUCCAAGUUUCUCAUAAGCUUAAAAAAAGAAACCUGAAAAAAAUACAAACAAAAUAGCUGACAGCUAUUAGAAGAACCCACAAAAUUUGCAGCCGCACCAAGGGUGAAGAAGCAGCAAAAGACCCAGAUCUACUGGAUACACAGAGGAACUCCCCCCAGGUCAUGCAAGAAAGAAAAAUGAAACUCUGUAUCAGGGAAGCUUAAAAAGUCCCCCAUUUCUCCAAGUUUCCACAAAACCUAAAAUGGAUUUAUAGGUCAGAGAGUAUGAUUUUUUAAGUUAAUU